rnacentral:rRNA from 1 species
GACGAACGCUGGCGGCGUGCUUAACACAUGCCAGUCGAACGGAAAGGCCCUGCUUUUGUGGGGUGCUCGAGUGGCGAACGGGUGAGUAACACGUGAGUAACCUGCCCUUGACUUGGGGAUAACUUCAGGAAACUGGGGCUAAUACCGGAUAGGAGCUCCUGCUGCAUGGUGGGGGUUGGAAAGUUUCGGCGGUUGGGGAUGGACUCGCGGCUUAUCAGCUUGUUGGUGGGGUAGUGGCUUACCAAGGCCGUGACGGGUAGCCGGCCUGAGAGGGUGACCGGCCACAUUGGGACUGAGAGAGGGCCCAGACUCCUACGGGAGGCAGCAGUGGGGAAUAUUGCACAAUGGGCGGAAGCCUGAUGCAGCAACGCCGCGUGCGGGAUGACGGCCUUCGGGUUGUAAACCGCUUUCGCCUGUGACGAAGCGUGAGUGACGGUAAUGGGUAAAGAAGCACCGGCUAACUACGUG